CAAUCCCAGAGUAAGAAUUGCAAUUGGAUUUCUCUUUGAUGACCAGCUGUGUUGCAAAAACAUUCAACUAAUAAUUCCACUAAAGACAUCCAUCAACCUAAGCCCAUCAGUCACACUAUCAGUUGGAAAACUCUGCAAGAAUUUCAAGGAGAAACACUGCAUCUUAGUCCACAACCAUAAGCUACCACAGAUAUUGUUUUUCCUUGGUGUCCUGAUUCUCAUUUGGUUGAGGAUUUACAGAAAUUCAACAAGACCAUCAUCUUUCAGAUACUCCUGAGAGCAGGAUCCCAGGAACCCAAAACAAAUUUUAAGCCCAAAUAAUCCUUCCAACCAGCU
rnacentral:lncRNA from 1 species